UACGUAGGGUCCGAGCGUUGUCCGGAAUUACUGGGCGUAAAGAGCUCGUAGGUGGUUUGUCGCGUUGUUCGUGAAAACUCACAGCUUAACUGUGGGCGUGCGGUCGAUACGGGCAGACUGGAGUACUGCAGGGGAGACUGGAAUUCCUGGUGUAGCGGUGGAAUGCGCAGAUAUCAGGAGGAACACCAGUGGCGAAGGCGGGUCUCUGGGCAGUAACUGACGCUGAGGAGCGAAGGCGUGGGGAGCGAACAGG
rnacentral:rRNA from 1 species